GAUACUGGCGGACGGGUGAGUAACACGUGGGUAACCUGCCUGUAAGACUGGGAUAACUCCGGGAACCGGGGCUAAUACCGGAUGCUUGUUGAACCGCAUGGUUCAAACAUAAAAGGUGGCUUCGGCUACCACUUACAGAUGGACCCGCGGCGCAUUAGCUAGUUGGUGAGGUAAUGGCUCACCAAGGCAACGAUGCGUAGCCGACCUGAGAGGGUGAUCGGCCACACUGGGACUGAGACACGGCCCAGACUCCUACGGGAGGCAGCAGUAGGGAAUCUUCCGCAAUGGACGAAAGUCUGACGGAGCAACGCCGGCGUGAGUGAUGAAGGUUUUCGGAUCGAAAGCUCUGUUGUUAGGGAAGAACAAGUACCGUUCGAAUAGGGCGGCACCUUUGACGGUACCUAACCAGAAAGCCACGGGCUAACUACGUGCCAGCAGCCGCGGUAAUACG
rnacentral:rRNA from 1 species